CCUACGGGAGGCUGCAGUGAGGAAUAUUGGUCAAUGGGCGCGAGCCUGAACCAGCCAAGUAGCGUGAAGGAUGACUGCCCUACGGGUUGUAAACUUCUUUUAUAAAGGAAUAAUGUGAGGCACGUGUGCCUUUUUGUAUGUACUUUAUGAAUACGGAUCGGCUAACUCCGUGCCAGCAGCCGCGGUAAUACGGCGGGUCCGAGCGUUGUCCGGAUUUAUUGGGUUUAAAGGGAGCGUAGAUGGGUUGUUAAGUCAGUUGUUAAAGUUUGCGGCUCAACCGUCAAAUUGCAAUUGAUACUUGCAGUCUUGAGUACAGUUGAGGUAGGCGGAAUUCGUGGUGUAGCGGUGAAAUGCUUAGAUAUCACGAAGAACUUCGAUUGCGAAGGCAGCUUACUAAACUGCCACUGACAUUGAUGCUCGAAAGUGUGGGUAUCAAACAGGAUUAGAUACCCGUGUAGUC
rnacentral:rRNA from 1 species